AUCAUUGCUGGGGAAGUUUUUUCUUUCUGGAAGUAUGUGGGGAUGAUCUGGUAAAGCCAAGUUAGACAAAUGAUUCAGUCUCCAUGGCCCAAUUUACCUACCACACGUCCCUCAUGAAGCAGGUGUAACAGGAAAUGAUGUUAAAUACCUCAGGCUUUCACAGAAUUGAGUCUUCAAAGUCAGUAUCAAUAUUUUUAUUGUUUUGUUCAGGACAGAUUACAUCCUCUCUUACGGUCACUUCACUUGAAUAAGUUUGAAAUGAUCAAGACAGCAACGGGAAGAGAGGAAAGCAGGUUGCCACAUGGGGCUUGGAAGAACUGACUGUCUUGUUAGGGUGCGGUUGGAUAUCAGACCUCAGGUUGCACUCUAAGAUAAAACAGUGUUACUUGCUCACACAUUACACGAUUGACCUCUUACCAUGAGUGAGGACUGCUCUGGCCAGAAAGGGAAUCAGAAGAGUCCUGGUACAAAAAAAAGUCCAUCUAGAGAGCUGCAAUUAUGAAGUUAAUGGAGUAGUCAAAUACUACAACGUUGAAUGUACCCAAGAACCUGCAAACCUAUGCUGUCUGCCUAAGCAAUCUGCAUUAUGUGCUGGCAGCUAUGGCUCCUGUGGAAUUUAUGUUCUGAGCACUGAGGAAGAGCAUCUCCCCCUGAAGUCAUCUAGCACUGAUUUCACAUUCUGGCUAUCCUCAUUGUCUCUUUUUCAGGGAACAUGUCCUCUUGUGUUUCGAUUUCCACGAGAAUUGCAGGAAAGGAGUUCUUGUAAUAGCUGCUCUUGCUUAUGCCUGUAGGAGUGGGAAGGAGGACAUCAACUGGUAGCAUAAGCCCAGACACCUGAGUACCAUACCAUUCUCCUCUGAGAUACUGGGCAAGUCUUUCCAUUUCUAUGUACUGCUCUUCUCCCUCUAAACUGAAGCUAAUAACUUUCUUCCAUUUUUUAUAAUUCCUGUACCAGUUUACUCUGUCAGGCCUGAAGUGCCUGACAGUGGCAGUUUUGGUGCUUGUACACUUUAUUGCUUUUGCUGCUCCCUACUAAUAUUAAGAGAGUGUACUCCAAAACUCUGAUAACAUAUCUGGAAGCCAAAUCAGAAAGCAUACUGUUUUUGUUUUUUUUUUUCUUUUUCAGGGUUUGAGUAGCACAGUGAGCACCAUUAGGUUCACAAAUUUCUGCAAAGAAGAGACACCGUGCAAAAUACUGAAUUUUUGUCCGCAUAGCUAGGCUCCUUGUUUGACAUCUGAAGUCAGGUUUCAUCUUAAAUAUUUUCUAAUAGGGAAGUGGUUUUAUCUUAAAUUUUUUAUGUUAUUGAAGUGCUGGAUUUCCAGUAAUACCUAUUUUGCUGAUGAAGGUAAGGGCACCCCAGUGUCUUCUGUACCAGAUGGAACAGGGAUUACAGAAACUCAUGUGGCAUUACUGCAAGAGAAACUCGGAAAUGAAAACCAGACCAUGACACAGAAGAGAUUACAGACUGAAAUUGCAUAGUGAAUGGAAGAACAGGAUUUUGAGUAGAUCUUUAUUUUUUUUUCUUCUGGAGAGAAAAAAAAAAAAACAACCAUGUGAAUUUAGGUAUUAACCAUGCUAAUAUGGUUGAAGUGUGCAUUUAUAUGGUGGUAGAUCUAUCUAAAAGAAGAAAAAGGCAUGGAGCUUUCCUGCCUAAUCAGUAUAUACAUGUAUUAUAUCUAUCUAUCUAUAUAGUAUAGUAUAUCAACCAUCCUAUAGGUACAGUUUGAGAUUUAUGCUGCUUAUGCAUGAGUCUGUGUAUAUAUAUAUAUUUUUAUAUAUGGGAAUCUUUAUCUGUAGAGUGUAUCCAUAGGACAAUGUGCAAUGGUCUUAAACGGUAAGAGCUUAGAUUUAGAUUACACAUUUGAAAGAAAUUCUUGACUGUGAGAGCAGUAAGGCACUGGAACAGGCUGCCCAGAGAAGCCAUGACUGCCCCAUCCCUGGAAGCAUUUGAGGUCAGACUGGAUACAGCUUUGAGCAGCCUGAUAUAGUGCAAGGUGCCCCCUGCCCAUGGCAGGCUGUUGGAACUAGAUGGUCUAAUCCAUUCUAUGAUUCUAAACUAUUUCUCUCUCUUUUUCUUUUUCCAAUGGAGUAGUACUGAAUCUCAUGAAGAUAAAAUCCCAGAAGAUCCUGCUGAAAGAAAGAUGAGUGAAAGACAGAUGAUCUUGAUGCAGAUACAUCUCAAAGUUGGAAUGUACGGUGAUCAACCCUGGGCCUGCCUUUGUGCCUGGAUAUUUACAGUCUAUCUCUGUCCAGAGAAUAUAACAAUGAAAUCUUGCCAUGAGAGGGGCCACAAGCUGUGAAGGUACCUUGCAUGGAGGCAGCUUCCCUGAGGAGCACUCAUGAGAAUGCCUGCCCUGGGCACGGCAGGACUGCAAGAUCUGAGACAAGGCUUCAACACCAGUGCUAACUGGGGAAAUACUCUUCCAAACAGCUGCUCAAUCCAGAUUUCAGCAUCUGUUCCAGCUAUUGACAUUUUUAUCCUAACUAUAGCUUUAAUUAACUGUGUCAUUCAUAGUAGUAGAUCUGACCUGUUUAACAAACAUGCUACUUUUUGUUUCAGUGGGAAUGCUAUAAGAGACAGGUAAAAUAAUUUUGUUACAUGGGAGGUUAUGGCUCUCAAUUUGUUAAAUUGUCAGCUGCUGUGGGAGCCUGUGGGAUGGAAGGUAUCAUAUAAAUACAAAAAAGUGUUAUUCUUCACCCUGAAUGACUCUAUCCAAC
ensembl:lncRNA